rnacentral:rRNA from 1 species
AGUGAACGCUGGCGGUAGGCCCAACACAUGCAAGUCGAACGGCAGCACAGUAAGAGCUUGCUCUUACGGGUGGCGAGUGGCGGACGGGUGAGGAAUACAUCGGAAUCUACUUUUUCGUGGGGGAUAACGUAGGGAAACUUACGCUAUUACCGCAUACGACCUACGGGUGAAAGCAGGGGAUCUUCGGACCUUGCGCGAUUGAAUGAGCCGAUGUCGGAUUAGCUAGUUGGCGGGGUAAAGGCCCACCAAGGCGACGAUCCGUAGCUGGUCUGAGAGGAUGAUCAGCCACACUGGAACUGAGACACGGUCCAGACUCCUACGGGAGGCAGCAGUGGGGAAUAUUGGACAAUGGGCGCAAGCCUGAUCCAGCCAUACCGCGUGGGUGAAGAAGGCCUUCGGGUUGUAAAGCCCUUUUGUUGGGAAAGAAAAGCAGCAGGUUAAUACCCCGCUGUUCUGACGGUACCCAAAGAAUAAGCACCGGCUAACUUCGUG